rnacentral:rRNA from 1 species
UACGAAGGGGGCUAGCGUUGUUCGGAAUUACUGGGCGUAAAGCGCGCGUAGGCGGAUAUUUAAGUCAGGGGUGAAAUCCCGGGGCUCAACCCUGGAACUGCCUUUGAUACUGGAUAUCUGGAGUUCGGGAGAGGUGAGUGGAAUUCCGAGUGUAGAGGUGAAAUUCGUAGAUAUUAGCUAGAACACCAGUGGCGAAGGCGGCCAACUGGUCCGGUACUGACGCUGAGGUGCGAAAGCGUGGGGAGCAAACAGG